AUUGAACGCUGGCGGCAGGCCUAACACAUGCAAGUCGAACGAGUGGCGGACGGGUGAGUAAUGCUUGGGAAUCUGCCUUAUGGAGGGGGAUAACGACGGGAAACUGUCGCUAAUACCGCGUACCAUAGGAUGAGCCCAAGUGGGAUUAGGUAGUUGGUGGGGUAAUGGCUCACCAAGCCGACGAUCUCUAGCUGGUCUGAGAGGAUGACCAGCCACACUGGGACUGAGACACGGCCCAGACUCCUACGGGAGGCAGCAGUGGGGAAUAUUGCGCAAUGGGGGCAAGCCUGAUGCAGCCAUGCCGCGUGUAUGAAGAAGGCCUUCGGGUUGUAAAGUACUUUCGGUGGCGAGGCGUUAAUCACAGAAGAAGCACCGGCUAACUCCGUGCCAGCAGCCGCGGUAAUAC
rnacentral:rRNA from 1 species